UACGUAGGGGGCUAGCGUUGUCCGGAAUCAUUGGGCGUAAAGAGCGUGUAGGCGGUCCGGUAAGUCCGCUGUGAAAGUCGGGGGCUCAACCCUCGAAUGCCGGUGGAUACUGUCGGGCUCGAGUCCGGAAGAGGAGUGUGGAAUUCCUGGUGUAGCGGUGAAAUGCGCAGAUAUCAGGAGGAACACCAAUGGCGAAGGCAGCACUCUGG
rnacentral:rRNA from 1 species